rnacentral:rRNA from 1 species
AGAGGUGGCGAGCGUUGUUCGGAUUUACUGGGCGUAAAGGGUGCGUAGGUGGUUUCGUAUGUCGGGUGUGAAAUCCCACUGCUCAACGGUGGAAUGGCGCUCGAAACUGCGAAGCUAGAGUGCAGGAGAGGAGAGCGGAAUUCUUGGUGUAGCGGUGAAAUGCGUUGAUAUCAAGAAGAACAUCGGCGGCGAAGGCGGCUCUCUGGAAUGCAACUGACACUGAGGCACGAAAGCUGGGGGAGCAAACAGGAUUAGAUACCCUGGUAGUCCCAGCCCUAAACGGUGUGCACUUGGUGUAGGGGGAAUUAACCCCCCCUGUGCCGGAGCGAACGCGUUAAGUGCACCGCCUGGGGAGUACGGCCGCAAGGCUA